GAUGAACGCUGGCGGCGUGCUUAACACAUGCAAGUCGAACGGAAAGGCCCAAGCUUGCUUGGGUACUCGAGUGGCGAACGGGUGAGUAACACGUGGGUGAUCUGCCCUGCACUUCGGGAUAAGCCUGGGAAACUGGGUCUAAUACCGGAUAGGACCACAUUUUGGAUGGUGUGGUGGGAAGUUUUUCGGUGUGGGAUGAGCUCGCGGCCUAUCAGCUUGUUGGUGGGGUAAUGGCCUACCAAGGCGUCGACGGGUAGCCGGCCUGAGAGGGUGUACGGCCACAUUGGGACUGAGAUACGGCCCAGACUCCUACGGGAGGCAGCAGUGGGGAAUAUUGCACAAUGGGCGCAAGCCUGAUGCAGCGACGCCGCGUGGGGGAUGACGGCCUUCGGGUUGUAAACUCCUUUCGCUAGGGACGAAGCGUUAUGUGACGGUACCUGGAGAAGAAGCACCGGCUAACUACGUG
rnacentral:rRNA from 1 species